ACAGUUAAAAAAAAAAAAAAAAAGCUUGUCCAGGUACCAUCUAAAAUCAAAUCAAUGCAUAGCCCCUUUGAGAAAGCAGUAGUGAAAGCCAGGGCUGCUCUUGGUACUGGCCAAGGGUCUUGCCUUCUCUUCCGGCUCUCACCAUGGAGUUCUCUGGUCUUGGAAUUCGAGCCUCAUAGACCUCCCCAAACCACUGGGCCAGCGGCAGAGGGGAGGGGGAGGUAAUCUCAGGUGGGAGGAAAAGAGAUGACCCACCCAAUCCAGGGGGAUAACACUGGGCCUGAGGCAGGAGGGUCAGCAGCCCUGGGGCAUUGAAGAGGAAUGUUCACACACUGCAGGGCCUCAGGGGGGCCCUCGGGGGCUCUCAGGACUCCACAACAGGUCUGACUCACAUGGCCCAGGACACAUGUGAACCAGGCUCAUUUCCUGGCCUCCUUCCUUCUUUCUAUUCUAUUUCUGCUUCCAGAGUUUUCUCUGGGGCAGGCUCCCCCUUCUGCCUGCACCAGCGGGCUGGCCUCGCUGGCUCGAACACCCCUCAAUUGUCAGACUCCUCCCUCUGUGUGCACCCCUGCUGCAUGAGGCUCAGCCCCAGGGGUCCAACAGAGGUCACAGUCACAGCACAGAAUGGAAGGCUUGCAGGGAGGGCUGCCCUGGAGGGCAGAGUGAAAGCAGGGGAAAGCUGCAGCCUUUCUUCUUCGUCCUCCUUGGGGAGCUAAUUACAGGCCAGCAGCCACUGUGCAGGUGAGCUGUGGACAGCAGCAGCCCAAGGACGCUAUCAGGGAUGCUCUGGAGGAGCCAAAGGCAGAAAUGUGAACCUUACGCUGAGGCCACGGAGAGUGAGGGCUCUCAGAGGAACCCCUGCUCGCCACCAUCCCGGGGAGGGGCCUUUCUCUCUCCCAGAAUGAAUCCCUUGUAACCUCCUGGGAUCUUUCUUUUCAUCACAAGAACCAAAUAAAGAAACUUGAAGAUCUUCUAGAGAGGCCCAAGGUUCACAAUCCUCAACUUCAAAGUGUGCUGUCCUUUACCACUGGCUUUCACUCCAGUUAAUCUGAUCUAGACAGACAAGCUCAAACCCAUUAUGCAGAUUAGGAAACCAAGGCAGAGAUGGGAAUUCUGGUUUACUAAACAGUUACAGAUCAAGUUAAUCUCCCUUAGGGGGUCAGAUCAACCACAGGCCAGAUUCUUCCUCUCAGCCCUGUGGUGCAUUUCUUUGGAAAUGUGAUGCUGCCAGAUGUUGACUUUUAAGGUUGCUGGUGUAACAGCCUCUGAGAUGGGCAGGGCUGUUCCCGGCAGUGGGUCUACACCCAGCUAUGCUCGUGCCCCUUUCUGUGACACCCCUUCUUCCACAACUAGGAUAGCAAAAGUGUAGCCUAGGGAGAAGCCUGAAUGGAAGCAUCCAGGAUAUUCUAAAAUCUCAUGUGGCUCACGCUCCUCUCCCAGCCUCAUUCACUGCCACAAAGCCACAGAGAAAUAACCUCAGUACUGCCCUCCCCCGAUGGCAGCAGAGAGUCCAUUGGCAAUGGUCCCCGAGGGAAACGAUGGCCCAUGGAGACAGAGCAGCUGGGCCCCAGCUCCUUUACCCUCAGCUGCAGCCUAACAGGGCACCUCAGGCUUCCGCUCCUUCUUUCCCUAGCCUUGGCUCCC
rnacentral:lncRNA from 10 species